CUGCGCUAGACGGGGAGCUUGCGGUGCCCUGUAAACUGCAAUCCGCAAUAGCAGUGCCGAACGCCGUCCCAGGCAUUGGUUAUGGUUGGCUGCGCAAAGCAAGGAGUGUUGAUAUUAAGGUCCUAUGCAACGUCAUGCUGUGAACCGUGUCAGAGCUUGACCGCAGCAGCACUAAGCAGAUUUUGGUGUGUGCCAUAGGGAAACUUUAAAGGAGCAACCUACUUUGUUACCGCUUCGGUAAUCAGUGUCAAAGACGGUGCGCAG
rnacentral:SRP_RNA from 1 species